CUCAGUAACAUUUAAACAAUAACUUAAUAUAACUGUUGAAUUCAUGAAUAUUAGAUGCUGAGAGUCAAAGCUAACGUAGCAGACCAUGCUAGCUGAUAUUUAUCUGCAACAUAAGCAAAAAUGUAAUAUACAUAAAAUGAUGGUGAAGUCUUUAGACAUUAGAAUUACAAUAUCUGUCAUAAACAACAACAUAUGUUAUAUUGUUUUGUGUAUGAAGACAUCUCCGGUUACUGGCUACAUUCUUCAGGGUGUAGAA